AUGGAAAUCGACGGCGAUGGCGGCGGCGGCGAACCGGAGGACAGGGGGAGAGUCGAGCUGGUGGACCUCCUGGAAGCCAUCAGAACCUCGGAGGUUUUGGAGAGCAGAACUUCCCUUAUCAACCAACUCGAGGGUUCCUCCCAGUUUUCUGCAGAAGAUCUGGGCCUAAUACUUGAAACCCUCACUGCAUCUUGGGAUCAUUCCAGAUGUUCAGGUGUAUCACACUGCCUGCUACACAGGUCAGUUUUGCAGGUUGUUCUGAAAUGCGCUGAGUUAGAUACAGCUGCAUGUCUGCCGCAAUUUCUUACUCUCGGUGCAAAGGCCAGCUCAUGGUGUGGGAAGCAUCUCAUAUGGUUCACCGAAUCUAUUGAUGAAUCUGAAGCACUUCAAGAGGAAGAGCACAACUGUUUAUGCUUAGAGAUAAUUUUACUGACCUUAAAUAUCUCUAUCAAGCUCCUUCCAAUGGCGGCAAAAUGCAUCACUGUUGAUGUGGUGCAUACUAUUGGUGGUUUUAUUUCGGAAUUGCUAACACUGACGGAAAGCUCAAUAGUUGACAAGAAAAUUAAUGGAACUGCAGCACAUGUUGCCAAGGCUGCACCUGUUUUUCUGGAUGAAACCAUCAAACUGUGCAGAGCAUAUUGUGAGGCUGCAAAGUCAGAUAUCGGCAGAACUUGCAUGCCUACAGAAGAGACAACUGUGAAACACGAAUUACCAGAUCUUACAAGCGACGUGGUCAGGAUUACAGCAUGCACUAUUCAGACCUUGUGUAAAAUAGGAACAUAUGCAGCAUCCAGUGGUGGAAGCCAGGUGGCUUUAUUGAAUGUGUCAUGGAAGGGUGUAGUUUCCUUACUUCAACUUGGCAAAGGACUGAUAGAAGUAAAAGUAAGUGUCAGUAAUAUCAUUUCGACUCUUAUCUCCCUUGUCAUUGAAUCUUUGAGGGUUGCUGCGGAUACAUGGUGUACGUCAUUACAAGAAGCCCUUGGUGUAUCUGAAGCUAGAAGGGCAUUCUUACCAAUCAAGUUUUUCUUAAUAAAUGCUGUAAGGAUUUGUUCUGUAUAUCCAUCCGAAGCACUGACUAUAUACAAGGACAUGAUCAGGUGUGUAUUGGUGAUAUCAUCCUCAAGCAUUUUAUUCAGCAAAGAUCCCCUGUUGAAAGCAGCUUAUGAGCCACUUGUUGAAUUAUUGGAGUCUAAUUCCUUUCAUUUACUAGACACACUUAUGAAGUCAUCAGAAGUAAGACUAGAGUCGAAAUGCCAGCUUGUGCAGUAUUUUCUGGAAAAUGAAGAAGCUAAUGGUCCAGCUCAACUGGGGCAGAAUGAUCAGAGAGAGAUAAAUUUGGUUUCAUUGGGCAGCAUUUUCUCUCUGGAUCCUGAUGUCGAUAACAGAAACAGAGCUCUUUUACCUGCUAAACUUAUUGUGUUUUUGCACUUCCUCACUAUUUCCCCAAACUUGGAUGAAGAGGUGGUCAUCGAAUUAUCUAAAAAGCUACAAUGUCUUCUCAAUAUGUUAACAUUGGAAGAUGUCUACUCAUUUGUCCUUGGCUGCCAUAUUCCUACAGUUUAUAGUGCUGACCAUCCUCCUGUAGUUGUCUGGCAACCUGUGUAUACUUUUCUCAUACAAGCCCUGAAGACUUAUAUGAUUGCUGCUGCUGCUGCUGCUUCAAGUGUUGCUUGGAAUGAGCUGGAAGCCUUCCUACUUGAGAGCCUUUUCCAUCCCCAUUUCUUUUGCUUGGAAAUUUUAACAGAGCUAUGGUGUUUCUUCACGCGCUGUGCUGAAAGUGAAACUUCAACUUAUUUAAUCAACCAACUAUUUCUUCUGUUAAAGACUGCAGCGUCAUCAGAGAAAGUUCUUGCACCUCUCAGUGCUUUCCGGAAGGUUGCACGUGCAUUCUGUAUCAUCUUGAGCUAUGCAUCAUGUGCAACUGUUGAUCAAAUUUAUACCUGUGUGCUGAAUGAUCAUAACUCUUCCAAGUCAUCAGUCCUGCACUUAGCGUUGUUGCUGGAAGGAUUUCCUUUUGAUUCAUUGUCAGAUGGUAUAAAGGUGCAUGCUGUAAACCAAUUGUUCACUUCUUUUCUCGGGUAUCUACAGAGCUCCUUGAAGAAUCAUGGUGCGAUUGAUUUGCCAACUUCUAGUUCGGGGGUAAUAGGUCUUCCUGUACAUGCUCUAGCCUCUGCAUUGCAGCGAUGCGAAAUAAAGGACUAUAGCCCCAUAGAUGGGAAGAGUAUUACCACUAUGUUUAAGUUCAGCAUCUCCCUCAUCAAUCUGUAUAGAACUGCACCUGACAGCAGUAAGGGCCAACUUGCCCAGCUCAUUAGUUCCGUAUUGGAUAUUAUCUCAAACAUGAGGCAUCUGUGGGCAUUCUAUCAGAUGGAGAAACUAACUCUAGAGUUGCACACCUUGUUCAUGUCUAGUUCUGACAAUUCAAAGGCAGUGCUGUCCCAGUGCAAACCAUCACUAGCUUCAUUUAUGGCAAUUCUUGGUCACUUGAACUCCAGCGAAGAUGAUUCUAAUUCACUUUGUUCUGCAAUGCCGGAUUUAUACCAUCUCUUGGUGAGGGAAAGGCACUGGGCACUCGUUCACCUAGCAAUGGGCUCCUUUGGCUACUUUGCUGCCCGUACAUCUUUUACGCAGCUCUGGAGAUUCGUUCCUGGAGAUGCUGCCCUUUCAUAUAAUACAAAUACAGGGGUGGACAUUGACGAGAACGGAUUCAUGUUGGAACUGAGAGCCUUUCUUCAGAAAGAGGUUGCUUUACGCGCUGACAAAUGGUCUGAAGAGCAGGUUUGCUUUCUAGUUUCAGAGGGGAGAGUGCUGAAGAAACUGGUUGAAACAACAUCUGAAAUUCCACAAGCUCCAGAGCGCGAGGAAAAAGCUGCCAUUUCAAUGGAUGUCAACACAAAGAAGAGGAAGAUGCCAGAUGGAAUCGGCGAAGGGAUGGCGCUGCUACAGAAUGGUCUCAAGGUGAUGCGAAGCGCUUUAUAUGAAACUGAUUCAGCAGAGCUCAAGGACAGGCUUGCGACACACUUGUCACGCCUCGAGAGCGCAGUUUCCCAAAUUGCAAGUUUCUCUGACAAAAUCUGA
rnacentral:rRNA from 1 species